GAUGAAGAACGCAGCGAAAUGCGAUAAGUAAUGUGAAUUGCAGAAUUCAGUGAAUCAUCGAAUCUUUGAACGCACAUUGCGCCCGCCAGUAUUCUGGCGGGCAUGCCUGUUCGAGCGUCAUUUCAACCAUCAAGCCCCCCGGCUUGUGUUGGGGACCUGCGGCUGCCGCAGGCCCUGAAAAGCAGUGGCGGGCUCGCUGUCACACCGAGCGUAGUAGAUCUCAUCUCGCUCAGGGCGUGCUGCGGGUUCCGGCCGUUAAACCACCUUCAUAACCCUAGGUUGACCUCGGAUCAGGUAGGAAGACCCGCUGAACUUAAGCAUAUCAAUAAGCGAGGA
rnacentral:misc_RNA from 1 species